GAUGAACGCUGGCGGCGUGCCUAAUACAUGCAAGUCGAGCGAACAGAUGAGGAGCUUGCUCCUCUGACGUUAGCGGCGGACGGGUGAGUAACACGUGGAUAACCUACCUAUAAGACUGGGAUAACUUCGGGAAACCGGAGCUAAUACCGGAUAAUAUAUUGAACCGCAUGGUUCAAUAGUGAAAGACGGUUUUGCUGUCACUUAUAGAUGGAUCCGUGCCGCAUUAGCUAGUUGGUAAGGUAACGGCUUACCAAGGCAACGAUGCGUAGCCGACCUGAGAGGGGGAUCGGCCACACUGGAACUGAAACACGGUCCAGACUCCUACGGAAGGCAGCAGUAGGGAAUCUUCCGCAAUGGGCGAAAGCCUGACGGGGCAACGCCGCGUGAGUGAUGAAGGUCUUCGGAUCGUAAAACUCUGUUAUUAGGGAAAAACAAAUGUGUAAGUAACUAUGCACGUCUUGACGGUACCUAAUCAGAAAGCCACGGCUAACUACGUG
rnacentral:rRNA from 1 species